UGGGGAAUCUUGGGCAAUGGGCGCAAGCCUGACCCAGCCAUGCCGCGUGUGUGAAGAAGGCCUUCGGGUUGUAAAGCACUUUCAGUGGUGAAGAAAAGCCUGAGGCUAAUACCCUCGGGUCUUGACGUUAGCCACAGAAGAAGCACCGGCUAACUCCGUGCCAGCAGCCGCGGUAAUACGGAGGGUGCGAACGUUAAUCGGAAUUACUGGGCGUAAAGCGCGCGUAGGCGGUUCGAUAAGUGGGAUGUGAAAGCCCCGGGCUCAACCUGGGAAUUGCAUUCCAAACUGUCGGGCUAGAGUAUGGUAGAGGGAGGUGGAAUUUCCUGUGUAGCGGUGAAAUGCGUAGAUAUAGGAAGGAACACCAGUGGCGAAGGCGGCCUCCUGGACCAAUACUGACGCUGAGGCGCGAAAGCGUGGGGAGCAAACA
rnacentral:rRNA from 1 species